CCUACGGGGGGCUGCAGUGGGGAAUACUGGACAAUGGGGGGAACCCUGAUCCAGCCAUGCCGCGUGUGUGAAGAAGGCCCUCGGGUUGUAAAGCACUUUCAGUGAGGAAGAACGCCUGGUGGUUAAUACCCAUCAGGAAAGACAUCACUCACAGAAGAAGCACCGGCUAACUCCGUGCCAGCAGCCGCGGUAAUACGGAGGGUGCGAGCGUUAAUCGGAAUUACUGGGCGUAAAGCGCGCGUAGGUGGCUUGAUAAGCCGGUUGUGAAAGCCCCGGGCUCAACCUGGGAACGGCAUCCGGAACUGUCAAGCUAGAGUGCAGGAGAGGAAGGUAGAAUUCCCGGUGUAGCGGUGAAAUGCGUAGAGAUCGGGAGGAAUACCAGUGGCGAAGGCGGCCUUCUGGACUGACACUGACACUGAGGUGCGAAAGCGUGGGUAGCAAACAGGAUUAGAUACCCGGGUAGUC
rnacentral:rRNA from 1 species